AUUGAACGCUGGCGGCAUGCCUUACACAUGCAAGUCGAACGGUAACAGGUCUUCGGAUGCUGACGAGUGGCGAACGGGUGAGUAAUACAUCGGAACGUGCCUAGUAGUGGGGGAUAACUACUCGAAAGAGUGGCUAAUACCGCAUGAGAUCUACGGAUGAAAGCAGGGGAUAGCAAGACCUUGUGCUACUAGAGCGGCCGAUGGCAGAUUAGGUAGUUGGUGGGAUAAAAGCUUACCAAGCCGACGAUCUGUAGCUGGUCUGAGAGGACGAUCAGCCACACUGGGACUGAGACACGGCCCAGACUCCUACGGGAGGCAGCAGUGGGGAAUUUUGGACAUGGGCGAAAGCCUGAUCCAGCAAUGCCGCGUGCAGGAUGAAGGCCUUCGGGUUGUAAACUGCUUUUGUACGGAACGAAAAGCCCCGGGUUAAUACCCUGGGGUCAUGACGGUACCGUAAGAAUAAGCACCGGCUAACUACGUGCCAGCAGCCGCCGUAA
rnacentral:rRNA from 1 species